UGGCCAUAAUAGCUGUCUCAUUAGCAUUUUAACCACUUCCCAUAUUUGCUUUUAAGACAAUAGAAGAAAAUUAUUCAAUGCAAAAACAAAACUAACUUGUAAAUAUGAAAUUCUCUUUACAGUAUGAGUUUUUCUCAUUGUUGGAGAUUGUACAGUAGUACCUGUUAUUGCUUAUACCCAUUUCUUAUUCCCUUUAGUUUGAUAAACUCACAGAAUAUAUAUCAUAUAUUUACAUUGUGCCACAUCUCCUUAUUUUUAUAUGCAUUACAAUAACAUGAACAAUUGUAAUUCAAAUCCAUAUAUCAAAGCAAAAUGAAUUUCACUACUUUCAUUCAUGCAUCCUUUGGCAAAAUACAAGUUCUAAAAUGACA
rnacentral:lncRNA from 1 species